rnacentral:siRNA from 1 species
AACCUUGAUGGAAGAUGCUGGAAU